rnacentral:rRNA from 1 species
UACAGAGGGGGCAAGCGUUGUUCGGAAUUACUGGGCGUAAAGGGCGCGUAGGCGGCCUUCUAAGUCGAACGUGAAAUCCCCGGGCUCAACCCGGGAACUGCGUCCGAUACUGGAAGGCUUGAAUCCGGGAGAGGGAUGCGGAAUUCCCAGUGUAGAGGUGAAAUUCGUAGAUAUUGGGAAGAACACCGAUGGCGAAGGCAGCCAUCUGGACCGACACUGACGCUGAGGCGCGAAAGCGUGGGGAGCAAACAGG